rnacentral:rRNA from 1 species
AACGAACGCUGGCGGCAGGCCUAACACAUGCAAGUCGAACGCUCCGCAAGGGAGUGGCGCACGGGUGAGUAACACGUGGGAACCUACCUUCUGGUACGGAACAACCAAGGGAAACUUUGGCUAAGACCGUAUACGACCUCCGGGUGAAAGAUUGAUCGCCGGAAGAGGGGCCCGCGUCCGAUUAGGUAGUUGGUGAGGUAACGGCUCACCAAGCCUUCGAUCGGUAGCUGGUCUGAGAGGAUGACCAGCCACACUGGGCUGAGACACGGCCCACGACUCCUACGGGAGGCAGCAGUGGGGAAGUAUUGGUACAAUGGGCGGCAAGCCUGAUCCAGCCAUGCCGCGUGAGUGAUGAAGGCCUUCGGUUGUUAAC